AUUAUGACACUUGGCAUGCCUUCCAGUCCUCUUCACUUCUCCAUUAGACAUUCUGAACACGGCUGUUACACAGCUCCAGUGCAUGCAGCUACCACCCCCAUCUCUCACAUGCCCUCAAGCUCUAUGAGCCAGGUCUCUGCUACACCUCUUUCUGAAGAACAUCAAGACCAUUCAUUUAAACCCCGGUUUAGACUGGGGAGGACAGGCACUGGACCUAUUCCUUGCUCUAGUAAAAUUCUUUUCAUUUGAAAACUGAGUCUGUGACUAAACGAUGUUUAAAAUAAUAAAUAUUGAGAACUUGGUAGAUAUUGUCCUUGUGACCACAUUAUAAAAAAUAUGUAAAUCAACUAUUUUAAUUAAAUACUUUCCCAACUCUUUGUAGCCGCUCAACUGCACAUCCUAACACUGUUGGAACAUAUCAAGGAACAGCAGAUGCAGCUUGCUGCUACCGUUAAUAAUCCUGCUGCACGUAUGGCGACAGACACGGCUGUGGCUGAAAUGCCUCCCAAUAUCAGUUUGCCACUGGCCACCAUGUCUGAAGUUGAGGAGUUGGAGGAGUGGCUUAAAGAUUCAAGAAACUCGCAGGCUAAGCAAAACAUGAUUUCUGCUCUGGGUGCUACAGGAGGACAAAAUGCUAAACGAGUCACAUGGAACAUACUUUCAAGGCUUUUCUCAGAUGCAGUAGCCAAAAAAAUAAACUGGAAAGGAGUUAAUGGGAAGAAGUGCUUUAAAGAAACGCACACAAGAAGUUUGCUGAUCAGAGCUGUAAGGAAGAACCAGUCUUCCUCCGGUGUAGCAGAUAGUGAGGUCGAUUCUUACACCAUCCGUUGGUUUAACCUGGCGUCUGACCGUGGAGGUGGCCGGAAAGAACGUGCAAGAGCCAAAGAGGCAUCAACUGAGGUGAAACUUCUAUGGAAGGAGCAUUAUGGCAGUGUGUGUGUUUUUAGCUUUGAUGAUUUUUGCACUUGGUUCAAUUUUAAAAAUGUAACUUGGGUUGUCUUGGUUAUUCUGAGACUUAGACUUGACUCGUGUUCACAACAUAGUACGGUAAGUAUGUGGAAUCAUAUUCUGAGCAAUAGGUGCUGACAUCCAAAAGGAAAAGGAGAUUUAGCAUUUAAUGUCAUACCCUGCUACAAUAACAGUGCUCCCUGAAUGCAGCUGCAGCACAUUUGUAUGGCAAGAUAUAAUAUUACAGGAUAACCAUACAAAAUGCAUUUCCUAAACGGCUGUGUCAUGCCCAGCUCGUCCGCUCCUCGUGUGUGCCACGCCCCCCCUGAUUACCCACGUGUUCUUUCCCGAUUGUACCCAGCUGUGUCUGAUUAUUUUCAAUCAGUCCUGUGUAUUUCAGUCCGUGUCUUACCUGA